GAUGAAGAACGCAGCGAAAUGCGAUAAGUAAUGUGAAUUGCAGAAUUCAGUGAAUCAGCGAAUCUUUGAACGCACAUUGCGCCCGCCAGUAUUCUGGCGGGCAUGCCUGUUCGAGCGUCAUUUCAACCAUCAAGCCCCGGGCUUGUGUUGGGGACCUGCGGCUGCCGCAGGCCCUGAAAUGCAGUGGCGGGCUCGCUGUCACUCCGAGCGUAGUAGUUACAUCUCGCUCUGGGCGUGCUGCGGGUUCCGGCCGUUAAAAGCCUUAUUUACCCAAGGUUGACCUCGGAUCAGGUAGGAAGACCCGCUGAACUUAAGCAUAUCAAUAAGCGGAGGA
rnacentral:misc_RNA from 1 species